AAAGAAUGGGAAGAAGAGUGUGGGGGGACGGAUAAUUGACCCCCCAAAAACGUUGGUGAGUAAUAAAAAGCAAAAACAAAGGUACUUAAAGUAACUAAACUAGCUUGCAUAGCAUAGCAGAAGGCAAACAAUCAUCUUUCACAGAAACCGAACCCCGGCCCCACACCGUUAAUAGUCUAUCAGUUCCCCACGCAGCCUUCAAAGGGGAGUUUUCCGAUAAACAAAAGACACUAACUGUGGAACCAUUCGAUAUGGAAAAGUGUUUUCUUCGAAAGCAUGCGAUUCUGUCCCCCCGUGGAGCCUCUUGCUUGUGAGAGGAUCACGUGAAGAUGAACAAAACAACAGCGCCAACAGCAGCAGUUUCCUAUUGCGCGUCCGCAAAAUGAGGCUAUCCGUAGCGUUUGCAAUAAAGAUUUUCCCUCCCAGUGGGUGGUGGUGGUGCAAUUCGCAUUACAUCGGCGGGUGGAAUAGCAAUGAAGGAAGUGGUGAAAAGAGUUUAAUGAGCAUUUUUAUGUGAUUGCGUUUGCGUUUAAAAUGGGUUGCGCACAGAGAUUUGAAGCGUGCGCAAGCUGCACAGAAAUCCACCGUAGAAAUUUGUGGUUUUAUUUAAUACAGCAAUAAUACAGCUUUGUGAUGUCAUCGUUGGAAAGGUGUGACUCUUUUCAAAAUGUCGAAUUUAUGUCCCCCCCAAUUUUUGAGCUUUUUGAAAUAUGUACGCAAACUCUUGUGUAAAGAACAUAUUGUCCCGUCGUCUGUUGUCACUUUCAUUUUUAAGCCUUUCCUGUCCCACCAUUGCAAUGCUAAUUAGACUGUACGCGCUCUGUUAUUCCUGCAAUGGUUUCAACUACAGAGCGCUUUUUCUUAUUGGUGCUAAUUCAAUCAUAUUUCAACAUCCCGUCACAGUAGGCGUGUGCGUGCCGGUGUGCACAGUUUGAGCGGCAGAUGGGUUGGUGGAUAUUGCGUGAACCUUCCCAACCGUGAACCGCGUACGUGCGUGUGUGUGUGUGGCCGUUAGAGAAUCCAAAAUGGGAAGCUGUUGCUGUUUUGUGUCAUAUCCGGUGCAACACAUGUACGUGUAAAGUGGCUUUUUGUGCCACUUUUAGUUUAUUACGAAACAUGGUCAUCAUGCACUACAACAACAACAAAAAGCCCUACAAUUAGAAGUGAGAUACUGAGACAUACAGAGAAAAACAAAAAAAGAUGAUUUCGAGUACUUCACCGUCAUGUGCACACUUUGCUCUCCCCGGCAAACGACUCCACAGUGUGCUGUGAUUAGAUAACCUCACCAACCGCACCAAGUGUGUCUAACCAUCAUCGAUGCCAUUUGAGGUGGUGCUUCAAGAGAGGCCCAAACAUGUAAUUACGACAACUUGUUGACCGGCCAAAGGCGUAUAGGCGAUGCCAUCUCUGCCAGCACCGACCCUUAACUCCAGCACACGAAAUUGUCCCUUUCUGGAAGUGAUUUGCGCACAAACAAUAUGGCAGUAUUUAGGAUCUAUUUUCACAUUACACGUGAUACACCGAUGUUGAGGAACACCAGUCCGGCCGUUUAGUUAUGACACGCUGCAACUGCGUUGUUGUUAUUCAAAUGUAACCGGUGGGACGUACUUCACCCUA